rnacentral:rRNA from 1 species
GACGAACGCUGGCGGCGUGCCUAAUACAUGCAAGUAGAACGCUGAAGGAGGAGCUUGCUUCUCUGGAUGAGUUGCGAACGGGUGAGUAACGCGUAGGUAACCUGCCUGGUAGCGGGGGAUAACUAUUGGAAACGAUAGCUAAUACCGCAUAAGAGUAGAUGUCGCAUGACAUUUGCUUAAAAGGUGCAAUUGCAUCACUACCAGAUGGACCUGCGUUGUAUUAGCUAGUUGGUGAGGUAACGGCUCACCAAGGCAACGAUACAUAGCCGACCUGCGAGGGUGAUCGGCCACACUGGGACUGAGACACGGCCCAGACUCCUACGGGAGGCAGCAGUAGGGAAUCUUCGGCAAUGGACGGAAGUCUGACCGAGCAACGCCGCGUGAGUGAAGAAGGUUUUCGGAUCGGAAAGCUCUGUUGUAAGAGAAGAACGAGUGUGAGAGUGGAAAGUUCACACUGUGACGGUAUCUUACCAGAAAGGGACGGCUAACUACGUG